CCUGAGGGGGACAAGAAGGAAUGGGUUUACAAGCCCUUUCCAACAAGAAUUCUCACUUUCACUUUUCGCCACACUAUGGGUGGAUUUUGGAUAGUGUUUGUCCCUCAUUCCCUGAUUCCCCACCAGGACCAGAGUGAUACCAGGACUUUUCCAGGGCAAACGUCUACUUGUCUGUCUUACAUGGGAAAAAGCCUCCAAUCCCCUAGUGUGUAAGUGACAGCUAGUGGCUGGAGAGUAGAGGACAGGGAGACAUAUCCUAUGAAUGUCUCAACCCGGAGACAUAGAAAGCAAGUGGCAGAUGCUAGGGGCAGUGUGGCCAUAGCGGGAUCUUCCAGAUGAACCACCUGAGAAGUGGACGUGGUACUGAUCCAUCCCUAGUGACAGGAAUCAGAGAAAGGAGUCUGUGAAGACCCGUCUCCCACUAGGAGCAUCUCAGACAACCAGGCUCUGCCUGGACCACUGCUGGGGACAAACCAACAGGGAUGUAGGACUGCUGGAAGAGCAGAGCCUUCCUAAUACCUUGGUCUUUGCAAUGCAUUCCUGUCUCCUCAGCUUAGCCUGAGUGAGCGGUCAAGGGUUUCCCACGUCCCCUCUCUGCCGCCACUUGUGCCUCCUGCUCUUGGCUCCAGGCAACAUCAAGACCCCACUAGGGUUGGUCCCAACCUCAUCUUGCCUCGUCAACUCAGUGAGGAUUCGAACCAGACCCCGUGUUAUGUCUCCUGGUGGCUGCUAUUCUCAGAGCUCUAGACCAGUAGUUCUCAACCUUCCUAAUACAGUUCAGGGUACUCUCAGGUGGUGUUAUCUGCAGAUGGGUCGACACACUUGGAGACAGAAGAGAGGUAUCUCAGUAAUGGUCUUACCAUUUUCAGAUAAUCUUCAGUGACCCCUGUGAAGAAGGCAUUCUUUGGUCCCAGAGGGGCAGAGACCCACAGAUUGAAAACCGCUGUUCUAGACUGAUGUGACCAGCCGAGACCGGUUUUUCCAUGGGGACUGGCAGCAGAUGGGGCAACCGCCUAGCAUCCUAGUGUGAAAAAAACAAGGAUACAGGUGGUAGUUAAGAGCCACACUGUGAUACAUUGUUAUUAAGUCGCCGUACCUUAGCCACAUUGUGAUACAUUGUUACUAAGUCUCCACAUCUUAUAAGAAGUUUGUUUUCCUAACCCUAAUGUAUCCUACAAACCAUGUUUUCAACCUAAGCCAAACUUGUAAGCCCAGGAUUUCUACCCACCCCUUUGCCUUGCUAAACUCCUGAACACCCACGAUAAUUCCCAUGUGAUGUCUUCUUGCACUUACCUACCCCACAGGCAGCUUUGAGCCCUGCCCCGCCACCCGUUUCUGUCCCAGUGCUAACAGCCAAUUAACUCAACAGAUGUUUUCUAUCAACCCUAACCCUUCCCCAUAAAAGGGACCUCAAAAACCAAUGAGGAGCUGCUCUCUGAAAACCCCAAAUUAGGGGAAGGCUUCAUCUGGCCUGUCCCCUUGUGCACUGGAUUUAGCCAGGAAGUAAUGAGAAUGGUUUUUUCUCCUCAGGUCUAAUGCUAGCCCUUGUCCCCACUACACAGACUCUGAGCUCUCUUGUCAAAAUGGCUCCAAAAUUGGGGUGACUGUGAGCCAGAGUGAGGAGAGAGGUGAUGGCCAUCAGAGCAGAAGAAAGAGAGGCCUUAUUGACCCCCCCAGUCUCCCAGAGCAGCCCCCACAGUGAUGAUGGAAUGAUACAGUUGAGCUUGAUUCAGGCCACAGCCCUGGGGAGGAGGCCAAGCAAGGCAUAGCAAAGGCUUGGUGAGAUGAUGCAUGCAUUCAACUCCAAGCACUCAGGAGGCUGAGGCAGGGUCCCUCAGAGCUGCUACAAGAACUCUGUGCUUCCGUUGGACUCCAUCCAAGGUGACUUCCCAAUACAAAGUCAUGGUGCCUUUCCCAGUAAGGUUCCGUCUGUCACAUAGGACAGCCACACACAAUGUGCCAUCCUGCUCUGGAAGAGGAUGCUCUACAUAGUAGUUUAUGAGAGGCUGAGGCAGGGGGAUUACCCGUUUAAGGCCAGUUUGGGCUAGAGAGCGAGGCUCUGUCUCGAUGCUAACUCAAAAUAAUUGUGUUGAAUUGGUGAACUUUCUCCUUGUUUUUAAUUUUUAAAUAUUUUACUUGUUAACACUGUGUGUGUGUGUGUGUGUGUGUGUGUGUGUGUGUGUGUGUGUGUGUGUGUGUGUAGGCUAUUCUUGACCCUUCGGGGCCCUGUGUUCUCCCAAAGGCAAAAAGGAAGCCUACAACUGACUGUCAGGGCACCUGUGACUUGCUGUGCAUCUUUGAGCAAGUCAGUGCCUUCUCUGAGCUCCUUCUGUCUGCCCUGUCGUCACCGAAUGCUCCGGCCACUGUAAAUGUAGGAAAGGACAUUACAUUAAUGGACAGACUCUACCCUCAAUAAAAUCAAAUUAGCUUAGCUUUUAGCCACCCAGAUUUCUGCCAAAUGAUUUUUUUUUGUUGGGGGGACAGGCUUCUCCUAGCUAUAGGUGGAGGCACCAAGAAGACAGUCCUACACUGAAGGACGCAAACACUGGCCUCUGUGUAGGUAUCCCCUGAGGCUCUAGAGGCUUUAAGUUUAAGCCGGGGUGUCCUUAGGAGUGACCAGUCAGCUGGAAACACACACACACACACACACACACACACACACACACACACACACCAGCUGCUGGGCACUUGAGUUUCGAUUUCCUAAGCUCAGGCUUGGCUGUGUAGGGGGUGGGGCUUUGGACUUGAUUUCCUCUUUCUAGAAUCCCGAGUGCAGGACAGAAGCCCCAGGACCUGAGCUACAGUGCUCUGCCUCUGUCAUUCACAAGCCCAGCUAGCAACUAUGGGAAACUGGAUGCCUGGCUGGUCAUCCAGUGGGUCUUUGGGGGUGCCCCCCAUGCCAGUGCAGAAGCUAGAAAAGUCUGUCCAGGUAAACCUUGAACCAGAUGAAAAAUGUCUGAGUCAGACCGAGGUGUCCUCUGUACCAUCCCAGAAGCUAGAAGAAUAUAUCCAGGCAAACCUCAAACCCGAUGAAGAAUCUCUGAAGCAGAUAGACCAGGCUGUGGAUGCCAUCUCUGACCUGCUGUGCAGUGAGGUGAUGAUCGAUGUGCUGAAAGUGGUUAAGGGUGGCUCCUAUGGUCGGAAAACAGUCCUAAGAGACUGCUCCGAUGGUACACUUGUUCUCUUCACCGGUCUCUUCAAACAGUUCCAAGACCAGAAGAAAUACCAAGAUAAGCUCCUUGACUUGAUUGAACAACGGCUGAAAAGCCAUGAGAAAUACAAGAAGUCAGUAAAACGUAAACUUAGCCUCCUUGAAGUACAAGUGUCUAUACCAGGGCAGAGUAUACUCUUGCAGUUGCUUCCAACCUUCAAUCCUCUGUGCAUCAGUGAGAAUCCCAGCGCCCAGGUCUAUCAGAAUCUCAAAAGAUCCAUGGAUCAAGUAAAAGCAUCACCUGGGGAAUUCUCAGACUGCUUCACCACACUGCAGCAGAGGUUUUUCGAGAAAUAUCCCGGGAGACUGAAGGAUUUGAUUCUAUUGGUCAAGCACUGGUAUAAACAGUUGCAGGAUAAGUGGAUAAUACCCUCACCUCCGCCAUUGCUAUAUGCACUGGAGCUGCUUACUGUGUAUGCCUGGGAACAGGGCUGCCAGACUAAAGACUUUGACAUCACGCAAGGUAUCAGGACUGUGCUGCAACUCAUCAGUCAGCCGACAAACCUGUGUGUCUACUGGUUAGACAAUUACAACUUUGAGGAUGAGACAGUCCGGAACAACCUUCUGCACCAGCUCAACUCCCCAAGACCGGUCAUCUUGGAUCCAACCGACCCAACCAACAAUGUGGGCAAAGAUGACAGGUUCUGGCAGCUACUGGCAGAAGAGGCUCAGGAGUGGCUGAACUCUCUCAGACUGAAUAAGCCACACAAACCAUGUUGGGAUGUUCUGCCCAUGCCAUUUUUCAUCACCCCAAGCCACUGCCUGGACAAGUUCAUCAAAGACUUCCUCCAACCUGACAAGGUCUUCCUAAACCAAAUCAAAAGAGCUGUUGACAUUAUCUGUUCAUUCUUAAAAGAGACCUGCUUCCAGAAUUCUGACAUCAAAGUCCUGAAGAUCAUCAAGGGAGGAUCCACUGCCAAAGGCACAGCUCUGCAGCAGAGAUCAGAUGCUGACAUCGUAGUGUUCCUCAGCUCACUGGAUAGUUAUGACUCCCUAGAAACUGAACGCUCCCAGUACGUCCAGGAGAUCCGAAAGCAGUUAGAAGCCUGCCAGAAGGCCUUUAAUUUAGGGGUGAAGUUUGAUAUUUCCAAAUGGAUGGCCCCCAGGGUGCUGAGUUUUACCCUGGAAUCCAAGAGUCUCAAGCAAAGUGUGGAGUUCGAUGUCCUUCCCGCCUAUGAUGCACUAGGUCAGCUGCGGUCUGACUACACCUCCAGGCUCAAAGCCUACAAGAAGCUCAUUGAGCUGUAUGCCUCACAGGACAGCCUCAAAGGAGGGGAGUUUUCAGUCUGUUUUACAGAGCUACAGAGAGACUUCAUUGAAACCAGGCCCACCAAACUCAAGGGUCUGAUCCGCCUGAUCAAGCACUGGUACAAACAGUGUGAAAGGAAGAUGAAGCCAAAAGCAUCUUUGCCUCCAAAGUACGCACUGGAGCUGCUCACCGUGUAUGCGUGGGAGCAUGGCAGUGGCACAGAUGGCUUCGACACUGCUGAAGGCUUCCGGACCGUCCUGGACUUGGUCAUAAGAUACCGGCAGCUCUGCGUCUUCUGGACAGUCAAUUACAACUUUGAGGAGGAUCACAUGAGGAAGUUCCUACUGACCCAGAUCCAGAAAAAGAGGCCUGUGAUCCUGGAUCCAGCAGAUCCCACAGGUGAUGUGGGAGGAGGUGACCGCUGGUGUUGGCAUCUUCUAGCCAAAGAAGCAAAGGAGUGGCUGUCCUCCUCCUGUUUCCAAGUGGAGCCAAAAAGCCCCGUGCAGCCGUGGAAAGUACCAGUAGUACAGACUCCAGGAAGCUGUGGAGCUCAGAUCUACCCUGUGGUGGGUGGGGUGUACUAAGAGAGUGCAUUCAGCUCUGGAGGGAAAAUGCUGGAAGAAGCUUCUAGAGACAUCUGGCAAAGACUCUGCUCGCUCGUGUUAUAGAAGGGAGCCUGGGUCCAGUCCUCUCUGGAUGGCUCCCACCAGUCUCCUUCCUGCUUGAAAUCAAGACAUGAGAUUUCCCCCACCCUCACCCAGGGUCUCACAUCUCGGGGGCCCUGCUCUGUGUCCCAGGAGAAACCGAGGUGCCUUUUCUAUCUUCCCUGAGGAGCCAAGGAGUUGUUUGAGCCUACCUGCUCACAGGUGAGGGGUUACAGGUAGGAGCGUGGGGGCCUUUGAAUGUCUGCACCCAGUUAGGAUGAUGGCUGCCCGCCCCCCACCCACCCACCCGAGUCGCACAAAGGGAACCCUUCCCCUCAUCUUUCCACCUGUAUCCUCUAGUCACUCCCAGAGACUACGGGCAGUCAGGGCAGAAUAACCAAUAGCUGGUUGGGACCAGUUGUUAGAUAACUCAGGUGAGGGUCCCAUAACCUUCCCAGCCCACCCCUCGUCCGAGAGUGAAGAUCAAUAGUCAGCAGGCCCCUCUGUGAUGUUCACUAAUAAGCAAGUUGAAGUGGACUCCUGAAGAUGGCGGCAGUGAGGCUCAGUGAACAGCCCUGCAUUAACAUUUUACGCACCCCAAAUGCUGGUUGAGAUCUCUUGCCUUAGCUUUGCCAGAUGCCCAGGGAGUCUUCACCCCAAGGCUUUAACUGCACAGAUACACAAGGUCUAAGCCCUUCGAAUCCCCAAGUAAGGUUGAGCCUUUUCUGCCUACGCUUGCUCUGGUGCACUGAGGACCAUGCCUGGCCCCCGUGCCGCUUUUAAGCGUAGAAUUGCAGCAUCCCAAGGAGUUGACUUCUAUGUGAACUCCUUCAUCCAUCUCUGAUGUACACUUUGAGGUGGCUCAGGCUAGGCUAGCCCAGAAGAUAUCCCGGGCAUGUGACUAGAGGGUCAGAACAUUAACCCAGGCCCUUCUACAGGGAAGAGAUGAGGCUGAAGGUGGGGUUCAAACUUCAUGGCCAGGGUUGGGGAUUUAGCUCAGUGGUAGAGCGCUUGCCUAGGAAGCGCAAGGCCCUGGGUUCGGUCCCCAGCUCCGAAAAAAAAAAGAAUCAAAAAAAAAAAAAAAAAAAAACUUCAUGGCCAGUGAUAGAACCAGUCACCCCUAAGUGCUGAGACCCCCACCAAAGUCUCUGGAUAAGGAAGCUCCAGGAACCUCUGUGUUGAUAGACAUCCCAAUAUAUCAAUAAGUCCAACCUCCACAGGGACAGACAGACAUUCCUGGGGCAGUCCCCUCCCCCAGCUUGCAUUCUGCAGUGUGUUAUUCCCUUAUCUGCUUCAUACUAAAUGGUGGUCUCGAGUGUGUCCUUUCUUCAGUCCGUGAGCCGUCAUGAUAGGUUAUGAAUCCUGAAGAGAGUCAUGGGUGCCACCCACACAGAUACGGACCCUCGCAGAGCAUGGCGAGAGACCCAAAGGGGACAAAGGGACGCCUCCUCCUUUCCCAUCAGUGUCCAGAAAUACGAGAGAAUUCACGGUGACCCGGGAACAUGCCGUCGUCACUGGCUAUUACUGGAAGCAGCUAGGACAUCAGUCCUUUUCUCAGAAAAUUGGUGAUUAAUGCUUACGAACAAGAAAUAAUUAAACCCAGGCUCACCUGUGCAAUCAUGUCAUGAUAAGUAAGUGGGCAUAACUAACGAAGAAAGAGGAAAAGGCAUUAUUUUCUUUCCUUCCUUUCUUCCUUUCUUCUUCUUCUUCUUCUUUUUUUUUUUUUUU